CAGUCGCCGCGGUAAUACGGAGGGUGCAAGCGUUAAUCGGAAUUACUGGGCGUAAAGCGCACGCAGGCGGUCUGUCAAGUCAGAUGUGAAAUCCCCGGGCUUAACCUGGGAACUGCAUUUGAAACUGGCAGGCUAGAGUCUUGUAGAGGGGGGUAGAAUUCCAGGUGUAGCGGUGAAAUGCGUAGAGAUCUGGAGGAAUACCGGUGGCGAAGGCGGCCCCCUGGACAAAGACUGACGCUCAGGUGCGAAAGCGUGGGGAGCAAACAGGAUUAGAGACCCGCGUAGUCCCUGUCUCUUAUAC
rnacentral:rRNA from 1 species